GAUACUAUAAAUAAAGGCAUAAUGGUUCAUAUUGUAUGCACUUAGAGAAUUAAAAGAGUUGAAAUACUUGUACAUUUGAUAUUUGGAAGAAUGAAAAGCUCCCAUCUCUUGUCUUCUUUCCAUAUUUUUUGUCUACUUUACUGUCCAUAUCAUUUAUCUUUUUGCUUAGUUUAAAACAAUUUUAUCUUUAGUUUCUUCUUUUUCUUUCUAACCAUAC
rnacentral:lncRNA from 1 species